rnacentral:rRNA from 1 species
AUUGAACGCUGGCGGCAGGCCUAACACAUGCAAGUCGAACGCGUGGCGGACGGGUGUGUAAUGUCUGGGAAACCGCCUGAUGGAGGGGGAUAACUCGUGGACACGGUAUCUAAUACCGCUUAAUCACAGUUGUCCCCCGAUGGGAUUCGCUUGUUGGUGGGGUCACGGCUCAACAAGGCGACGAUCCCUCGCUGGUCUGAGAGGAUGACCAGCCACACUGGAACUGAGACACGGUCCAGACUCCUACGGGAGGCAGCAGUGGGGAAGAUUGCACAAUGGGCGCAAGCCUGAUGCAGCCAUGCCGCGUGUAUGAAGAAGGCCUUCGGGUUGUAAAGUACUUUCAGCGGGGAGGCGUUACCCGCAGAAGAAGCACCGGCUAACUCCGUGCCAGCAGCCGCGGUAAUUC